UUCAUUUUGAAUGAUAUGACUACUCCCUCAGGAGCAAGUGGGAUGGAUUUCACACAUGGCAAUUUGGAGGAUCAGCACACACCGCGUAUACUGUAUUCAAUGGCUGACCCAGGGCAAAAUGGGCCAAAUCUGUGAAGAGGUUGAGCAAUCAGGGAAUCCAAAAGGAAAAGAAUGAAGCCUGGUAACAAAAAGGGCAGGGAAGAAACCCGAGUUAAGUGGAAGAACAUUGAAGCCACAGAGAGUAAGAAUAUGGGUUCAGAGCCAACGGACAGAGAAGGAGAGAAAGAAUGAGAUGAGGAUGGAGAGGCAGAGAGGAGGAGAGGGCCAGAAAGAGCAAGUGGUUAGACGAGUAGGCCUGAUGAGCAAUGAGCGCCUCACUCGUCUUCAAUUAAUCUUGUCUCUCAACCUUUUGGUUGGACGCCUCUGUGGAACCAAGAUGGUGUCAACAGCCGACAUGCUCUCACCCUGCUGCCGAACUCCCCGCUCAGACACAUCCAAAGCCCUGCCAAGACCACAGAACUGACGCUAAUAAAAUCAUUUGAAAUUUAACAAGCGCCAGUUUCAGGCCCAGUUCACUGAGAACCACCAGGAAAGUCAUGACAUUCACUCUUGAAUGUUUCAUCGGCUGGCCUGGGAGGCCUGUUUUAUAUGCCUUCAGGCUGUUCAUGAGCAGGAGGAAGCCUGGAGGCAGGAACCUGCACAUCAGCACUUCUCUGCCCAUCAUGACUCUUUCAUGGGGACCCAGUCUCCUGAAAUUCUCUAAUAGAGCCCAGUGAGAUGACAACUAUAAUGAGCCCAACAGAUGAAAGCCCAGCAGGACAAAGCAACAUUCAGAUCCAUCUCCACACAAACACUUCGGAGCAACAGUCUGAGGCUCCCAGUGUGAGUGUUUUAUUUAGGUAAACAAAAACACUGGAUUUAGAGUGAUGGAACCAAAGGAAGCAUCUGUAUUUUGGCAGAACUUCAAAAAGUAUAUGUGGGCAUGCUUAAAAUGUCAACAGAAAACAAUUGAAUAAAAGAUAUUUGAUAUAUUGGCUUUCCCGGUGAAUUGAGAGACCAUCAUGAGGAGGUUAUUUUACCUCUUCAUGAUUUCAUACCUUUAUAGAUUUAGUCAGCUUGUUUAUAAGUUUUUUUUAAGUGUAUAAAAUUGAGCACUCUGACAUGAUACAUUAAACAUUAAAUAUUAGCCUAAGACAGCAAUUUCACCCAGGGGAGAUUUUAUAUCCAACAUGUUAAAGUAAUUUUCUAUAAUCUAUUCAAGGUCUGCUGUGAAAAAAUGUGACUAUGUGACUGUAGUAACUAAUAUCUAGCAGCAGUAGCUUAGUAGCUGGCCUUGAACUUUUUAAAUUUUAAUGAAAACAAAACAGAGGUGAUGGUGUUUGGACCCAGUGGCUCCUGUGAGUCCUCCUCUGUUGACCUGGGACCCUUGGAGGUUUAUUUUAAACCUGUUAUUACAGAUCUUGGUUUUAAGGUGGACAGUGAUUUUAAAUUGGAUAGCCAAAUCAGAGCCGUGGUUAAGUCCAGCUUUUAUCACUUAAGGCGAUUGGCGUCAGUGAAAUCUUUUCUUUCCAGGCAGCAUUUUGAAACAGUGAUCCAUGCUUUUAUUUCAACUCGAUUGGAUUACUGUAACGCACUUUAUCUGGGAGUUAGUCAGUCGCUGCUCUCACAUCUGCAGCUAGUACAGAAUGCUGCUGCACGACUGCUGACAGGAACUCGAAAGAGGGAACACGUGACCCCUGUCCUGGCCUCACUUCACUGGCUGCCGGUAUAUUUUAGGAUUCAUUUUAAAAUUCUUAUGUUUGUUUUUAAAUCACUACAUAAUCUUGCCCCGGCUUACCUCUCUGAGCUUCUUCACCCAUACAUACCUUAUCGGUCUCUUAGGUCCGCAGAUCAGCUGCUUUUGGAGGUACCGAGAUCAAGAAGGAAGCUCAGAGGGGACAGAGCUUUCUCUGUCAUGGGCCCCAAAUUAUGGAACAACUUGCCUUUGCAGGUCAGGGAGGCCCCUUCACUGUCCACUUUUAAAGCUCGUCUUAAAACCCAUCUAUUUUAUUUGGCUUUCAACUCUAGCGGGAUCUAGUUUUAAA